AUCAUAUGAGUUCACAACACUUACUUGCAUCCCUGGUAUUAUCCAUUACAAUGAUACUAAAAUUCAAUUGCUUGAUCUUCCGGGAAUCAUUGAAGGUGCAUCUGAAGGCAAGGGUCGUGGUAGGCAGGUCAUUGCUGUUUCUAAGUCAGCGGACAUUGUAUUAAUGGUUCUCGAUGCUUCAAAAAGUGAAGGCCAUCGACAAAUUUUAACAAGGGAGCUGGAAGCUGUGGGACUGCGAUUAAAUAAACGACCUCCUCAGAUAUACUUCAAGAAGAAAAAGACGGGAGGGAUUUCUUUCAACAGCACGUUGCAUCUGACACAUAUUGAUGAGAAGCUCUGCUAUCAAAUUCUUCAUGAAUACAAGAUUCACAAUGCUGAGGUACUCUUACCAUGUUAGCCUAAUAUGCUGCAGAACAUCAUGUGGGAACUUUUAUUUUCUCACAAACAAAAGUGUGAUGAUUCUACUAACGUUUUGUGGAUUCCUGUUUGUAAGGUUACAUCUGCCUCUUCCCGUUUUAUACGUGCAAAAUCUCUGUACCUUUAUAUUCUUUGUUCACCUUGUUAGGUUUUAUUUCGUGAAGAUGCAACAGUGGAUGACCUUAUUGAUGUUAUUGAGGGAAAUCGUAAAUACAUGAAGUGUAUAUAUGUCUACAACAAGAUAGAUGUUGUUGGUAUUGAUGAUGUAGACAGAUUAGCCAGACAGCCAAACUCUGUUGUCAUCAGCUGCAACAUGAAGCUGAAUCUGGAUAGAUUGCUUGCAAAAAUGUGGGAAGCGAUGGGUCUUGUCAGAGUUUACACAAAGCCUCAAGGCCAGCAACCAGACUUCACAGAUCCAGUGGUGCUUUCUGCUGAUAGAGGUGGCUGUACGGUAGAAGAUUUCUGUAAUCACAUACAUCGGAGUCUUGUUAAGGAUGUGAAGUAUGUGUUGGUUUGGGGUACUAGUGCAAGGCACUCCCCCCAGCAUUGUGGCCUUGCUCAAAUGCUUGAGGAUGAAGAUGUGGUGCAGAUUGUUAAGAAAAAGGAGAAGGAAGAUGGAGGAGGUAGAGGCCGAUUCAAAUCACAUUCUAAUGCUCCUUCUCGUAUAUCUGACCGUGAAAAGAAGGCUCCAUUGAAGACCUGAUUGAGCCAGAUAGUGGCGCUGCUAGUUCUAUAUGCUGAUCUGGUAGGAUCCAUGUGCCAGGUAUUACUAUUGAAGAAUGAGCUAUACAAUGAGAAUAGCUAGAGUUUUUUCAACUUUAUGAAGUGAAACCUAUUUAUCAGUAGUGGCUCGAAGAUUUCAGUGUUGUAUUCUAUAUUUGAUCAUGUUACAACCCUAGAGUAAGUACAAUAUCUGGGGACAUGCUUUUUUCCUCCAGAUAAUAUUAACUGCCGUUCAUUUGUGAAAUGUGAGAUAAAAAGUUUUGGUCUUGGAUCCUGAAAGUGUCAAUGCGUUAAUAAUUGGAUAUCUUAGCUUCAUG
rnacentral:misc_RNA from 1 species